rnacentral:rRNA from 1 species
CCUACGGGUGGCAGCAGUGGGGGAUAUUGCACAAUGGGGGAAACCCUGAUGCAGCGACGCCGCGUGAGCGAAGAAGUAUCUCGGUAUGUAAAGCUCUAUCAGCAGGGAAGAAAAUGACGGUACCUGACUAAGAAGCCCCGGCUAACUACGUGCCAGCAGCCGCGGUAAUACGUAGGGGGCAAGCGUUAUCCGGAUUUACUGGGUGUAAAGGGAGCGUAGGCGGCGGGGUAAGUCUGAAGUGAAAGCCCGGGGCUCAACCCCGGGACGGCAUUGGAAACUGUCGUGCUGGAGUGUGGGAGGGGUAAGCGGAAUUCCUAGUGUAGCGGUGAAAUGCGUAGAUAUUAGGAGGAACACCAGGGGCGAAGGCGGCUUACUGGACGACAACUGACGCUGAGGCUCGAAAGCGUGGGGAGCAAACAGGAUUAGAUACCCCAGUAGUC